ensembl:snRNA U6 U6 spliceosomal RNA
GUGCUUCCUUUGGUAAUAUAUACAUGAAAAUUGCAGAGAAGAUUAGCAUGGCCCCUGCACAAAUAUGACACAGACGUGCAUAUGGUCUUCCAUAUUUUU